GACGAACGCUGGCGGCGUGCUUAACACAUGCAAGUCGAACGGUGAACGAGGGAGCUUGCUCCCUCCGGAUCAGUGGCGAACGGGUGGGUAACACGUGAGCAAUCUGCCCCGAACUCUGGGAUAAGCGUUGGAAACGACGUCUAAUACCGGAUACGACGCGGGAGGGCAUCCUCUCCGCGUGGAAAGAACUUCGGUUCGGGAUGAGCUCGCGGCCUAUCAGCUUGUUGGUGAGGUAACGGCUCACCAAGGCGACGACGGGUAGCCGGCCUGAGAGGGUGACCGGCCACACUGGGACUGAGACACGGCCCAGACUCCUACGGGAGGCAGCAGUGGGGAAUAUUGCACAAUGGGCGCAAGCCUGAUGCAGCAACGCCGCGUGAGGGACGACGGCCUUCGGGUUGUAAACCUCUUUUAGCAGGGAAGAAGCGAAAGUGACGGUACCUGCAGAAAAAGCACCGGCUAACUACGUG
rnacentral:rRNA from 1 species